rnacentral:miRNA from 17 species
ACCAUUGACCGUUGACUGUACC